rnacentral:rRNA from 1 species
CUACGUGCCAGCAGCCGCGGUAAUACGUAGGGCGCGAGCGUUGUCCGGAAUUAUUGGGCGUAAAGAGCUUGUAGGCGGUUUGUCGCGUCUGCUGUGAAAGGCCGGGGCUUAACCCCGUGUAUUSCAGUGGGUACGGGCAGACUAGAGUGCAGUAGGGGAGACUGGAAUUCCUGGUGUAGCGGUGGAAUGCGCAGAUAUCAGGAGGAACACCGAUGGCGAAGGCAGGUCUCUGGGCUGUAACUGACGCUGAGAAGCGAAAGCAUGGGGAGCGAACAGGAUUAGAUACCCUGGUAGUCCAUGCCGUAAACGUUGGGCACUAGGUGUGGGGAACAUUCCACGUUUUCCGCGCCGUAGCUAACGCAUUAAGUGCCCCGCCUGGGGAGUACGGCCGCAAGGCUAAAACUCAAAGAAAUUGACGGGGGCCCGCACAAGCGGCGGAGCAUGCGGAUUAAUUCGAUGCAACGCGAAGAACCUUACCAAGGCUUGACAU